rnacentral:lncRNA from 1 species
GUUGGGUAGCACUUUUUCCAUUAAGUGAAAUUCUUUGCACUUUGUGUUUCGUCAACAAUGUCCGAAUUUCUUUAGGUGAUAUGGUUGGGCUCUACUGUCUUGUUGCUUUUUGUCAGCUUUAUUUUUUAUAUGCGGGUUCUGCUUGUUUAUAGUUUUUGUGGUUAACGUAGCAUGAAACAACCGAAGGGAGUGCAUUCAGCGAGGACACGCUGCUCAUAAUCGUGAGCCAGUCUGUACUAGCCCUAUCUUGUGUCCUUUUGUUCUUGCAUGGGUACGUUACACUGUAGCAUUGCGCACGCGCAUGUGUCACUAUACAGCUUGUAGCGUUCCAAGCGCCAUGCUUACUUGUUUUAUGCAUUGUCAAAUGCAAUCGGCUGCUGAUGCAAAGUUGCACUGGUUUUUUUAUUCUGACUAAGCUGCAAAACUUGUAGCGUAGUACAUGCUUCAUCUGGGAGUGCAAUCGGGACUGCUUAUCGUUUAUUAAUGAAUAACUGUGGUUCACCUUAUUUGUAACUGCAUAUCUGGCUUUCAACUGACCUGAUGCUCUUAUUUUGUUCUUUUCACUGUUUAGACGGCGGGACAUCUUGGUGUCUUGGCGCUAGCUGGAUGGCGGGACCUCAUCAUUAUGAUCAGUGAUGUAUGCUUUGCUGCUUGGAUUGAUAAAACAUGCGCCGAGGCUUCCAUACAAGAACGAACUUCAAUUGGCUCUGGCACCAUCAGUGCUUGGCUGGUACCUGCCGAAUGAAUCGUCGCAGGUUUUGCUUGCCUGUGUCUACAAGAACCUUCACGUGUCACCUGCGACAGAAAGCAUUUGUGGGCAGCCAGUGCUCUCCUACAAAGACUGGCCUGCUCUGGCUGCGACAGCAAUGAUCUUGCACAUCUAUGCAUGGCCAACUUUGCUGCUAUUUGUCACUCUUGUUAAUUACACUUCCUGCAUCUUUUCUCAUUUAUUGGGUAAUAAAGUUUGACUGUGUGACAUGGUGU